rnacentral:rRNA from 1 species
AGUGAACGCUGACGGUAGGCCUAACACAUGCAAGUCGAACGGCAGCACAGUAAGAGCUUGCUCUUACGGGUGGCGAGUGGCGGACGGGUGAGGAAUACAUCGGAAUCUACUUUUUCGUGGGGGAUAACGUGGGGAAACUUACGCUAAUACCGCAUACGACCUACGGGUGAAAGCAGGGGAUCUUCGGACCUUGCGCGAUUGAAUGAGCCGAUGUCGGAUUAGCUAGUUGGCGGGGUAAAGGCCCACCAAGGCGACGAUCCGUAGCUGGUCUGAGAGGAUGAUCAGCCACACUGGAACUGAGACACGGUCCAGACUCCUACGGGAGGCAGCAGUGGGGAAUAUUGGACAAUGGGCGCAAGCCUGAUCCAGCCAUACCGCGUGGGUGAAGAAGGCCUUCGGGUUGUAAAGCCCUUUUGUUGGGAAAGAAAAGCAGCAGGUUAAUACCCCGCUGUUCUGACGGUACCCAAAGAAUAAGCACCGGCUAACUUCGUG